GGAGUAUUGCACAAUGGGCGAAAGCCUGAUGCAGCAACGCCGCGUGAGUGAAGAAGUAUUUCGGUAUGUAAAGCUCUAUCGAUGGGGAAUAAAAUGAAGGUACCCAAGUAAGAAGCCCCGGCUAACUACGUGCCAGCAGCCGCGGUAAUACGUAGGGGGCAAGCGUUAUCCGGAUUUACUGGGUGUAAAGGGAGCGUAGACGGAAUAGCAAGUUUGGAGUGAAAUACCUGGGCUUAACCCAGGAAUUGCUUUGAAAACUGUUGAUCUAGAGUACUGGAGGGGUAUGGGGAAUUCCUAGUGUAGUGGUAAAAUGCGUAGAUAUUAGGAGGAACACCGGAGGCGAAGGCGCCAUACUGGACAGAUACUGACGUUGAGGCUCGAAAGCGUGGGGAGCAAACA
rnacentral:rRNA from 1 species